UCCUAGGGCCUUGUCUGGAUAGCAUGUU
rnacentral:piRNA from 1 species